GACGAACGCUGGCGGCGUGCUUAACACAUGCAAGUCGAACGGAAAGGCCCCCUUGUGGGGUACUCGAGUGGCGAACGGGUGAGUAACACGUAAGUAACCUACCCUUGACUUUGGGAUAACUUCAGGAAACUGGGGCUAAUACCGGAUAGGAGCUCCUGCGGCAUGGUGGGGGUUGGAAAGUUUCGGCGGUUGGGGAUGGACUCGCGGCUUAUCAGCUUGUUGGUGGGGUAGUGGCUCACCAAGGCUUUGACGGGUAGCCGGCCUGAGAGGGUGACCGGCCACAUUGGGACUGAGAUACGGCCCAGACUCCUACGGGAGGCAGCAGUGGGGAAUAUUGCACAAUGGGCGGAAGCCUGAUGCAGCAACGCCGCGUGCGGGAUGACGGCCUUCGGGUUGUAAACCGCUUUCGCCUGUGACGAAGCGUGAGUGACGGUAAUGGGUAAAGAAGCACCGGCUAACUACGUG
rnacentral:rRNA from 1 species